ACAAUAAUAAAUGACCACCAUGGUCAUUUAUUUGGCUGAUUUGGCCGAACUGUUUUAUACUCGAAAACAUCAAUAGGAAUGUAAUAACCAUGUAGUCAAUGCAUGUGAAACUAGUGUAAUCAUUUUUGUUUGUGAGUAUUAUAGAAGGGCCUAUAUAAUUUUUUAAAACUAAAACAAUAAAAAAUGUAAUUCAGAAGUUUAGUGUUUUUUUUGUCCGAUUGUUUGAGAAAGUCAAUUCUGAAAUCCCCACAUAACGUAUAAAAUUGGCACGAUUAUAGGCAACUGGACUGGAUCAAAUACUUAAUGAAAGUAGGUAUGAAUGUCACCAUCUGGGGGGGUCUUCAGACUGAAAUAAUGCAAAUUUUUACAUUCUCAAUUUUAAGAUUAAUUUAACACAGUUCAAUGUAAGAUUCAACAGAUAAGUUUUCAACAGUUUUUAAGCUUCGGUAUGGUUUUGUCUAGCGAAGAAAGUAAUCACUAUGUAAUUAGUGAAAUAUUUACAAUUUAAAUGUUGAUUUGUGAGUUAAUGCUUCGAAAUACACAAAAAAUCUAUGUUGUUGAAGUAUAAAAAUAAUUAAUUUAAAAUUGUUUUUUUUAAAGCAUUCAAAAUUCGCAUGAAAAACAUUGACAUAAUUAAAAACUUUCUCAUUAAGACAAUGACUAUCUUCUUGAUCACACGAACCCAGGAUGCCAUUGUGUGAGUUACUCUUGGUCAACAUCAAAAGUUUGGAGCUACCUGGGAGAGUUGAGGGUAUAAAAAAUUCCUCGUAUCGUGACAACUACUGAGGGUUUGAUCAGUUGGCUCUUCAACUUGACUUGAUACCAGUCCGUGUUCUGAUACAUCCGACUGGAGGAGGUGUGGGUGUGUUGUCAGGGAUAUAAAAAUUCCUGGUAUGACAACUACUGAGGGGUUGAUUAGAUAAAUCUUCAACUGGUGACUGACCAUAUAAGUUCGUGUUCUGAUACAUCCGACUGGAAGAACUGUGGGUAAAGAGUUCCAUAAUGGCUGGUAGACAAACUUUUGUUGCUUCGAAAAAUCAUUGCAGGUGUGUUGUUUUGGUUUUCAAAAUCAUUAUCAUUAGUGUCGUUUUCACUAACAGUGAAAUGUUAAAUAAUAUGAGAUAUUAUUGUCCUGCUUAGUAACUUGUUUGUUGAAUUCGUAAGAACAUUAUUUUCCAUUGAUUCACAAUGUUGUUACAUUUAAUUAAAUUGUUAAACUUUUUUAAAUUCGAACAUGUUUCAUCAGCUUCAAAUUAUUAUCGUAAAUUAAUAGAUUUCUCUCUCUGUUAGGCUUUAGGAAAUCCUGCCAUACAUGUUUUGAAUUAUGAAACUCAACCACCUUGUUGGUGGUUGAGUUUCACAGAUUUUUGUAGAAAUCGCAAUGAGUAUCAUACAGUGUAGUAUAGAAUAAGUGUUUUUUACUUCUUUGGCUGCUUCACAAUUUGUUAUUCUUUUCUUCAAAUUUUCCGGUCCUCAUUUGCGAACUUUUUUGACCGUGAUCUUAGCUCAGUCGACCUAGCCGUUUGCAAAUGUUUUAUGAAUACUAACCCGGAUGUCUAAUUAAGAAAGAUUCACUGUGAAGAAUUCAGAAUUUUGUCAAAGCCACUCAAAAUACAAUUUCAGUAGGAACUUUGCCAUACUUUCAUUUCUUAGUGAGCAUUGAUAUGAAGACAUUUGAUCACUGAUUAGUUUUUCCACUCUAGCAAUAAAGAAUUGUGGAAAGGGUAUUUCGACAACAUUGAAAUGUUUAUCCAUCCUCUAUCCUUUUUGUAAUUUUAAUUCAUUGGUAUAUAGAAAUUUAGUACUGCAUUGAUAACAGUUUUAGCCUACCUUGACUAAUUACACUCCUUUAUCAGUAAAAAAUCAGUUUGUUCCCAUAUACACAAUGAAGUAAAAGUGGGUUGAAAAUUAUUAACGUGACAAUCGACAUAUAGCAAAUAACGGAUGAGGUUGAAUAUCGUAAACCGAGGAUUAUAACAACCGAAUCCGUUAUUUGCGUAUCGGCUGUGUUCAAGACUUUUCGUAAUUCCGCUGAGAUUACAUUUUGAUUAAGAGGAAAGAACAAACUACGUAACUCGUUAUUCUACAGAAAAAUCCCAACAUCGUGUUGUCAUGGAACAACUUAACAAUAUUAUGAACGUCAGUUUUUUCUGUUUGCGAGUUCGCUUUAACAACGACUAUGGAUGAAAUUGAAGGAAUUGGGGAACAAAAUCAAAUUUCUUUAGAAAUAUUGGGAGAAUCAUGUGCAGGAAGUGCUGAUUUACUGCCGAAAAUAACUCAAGAGUGAUAAAAGAAUAUGAAUAUUUUUAAGAGUGGCAUAAAAGCAAGAAUGUAAACGUGGUUAAUGAAUAGGUAUUAUUGCCUAUACAAAAGGAAAAUAGAGGUACAUAAAGACAAUACAGAGUCUGAUUUAGGAAACAUCAAAAUGAGUAGCGACGAAGAAUCGAUGACAGAUGGAGGAAAAGAAAAAAAAACUGGAAAGUUACCAGAUAUAUUCUCUAAAAGCAGAAAAAUCAACAGAACACCUGAAAGAAAGAAAAAAGAAGAAGACGACAAAUUAGAAACUAUCAUCACAAUGAUUCAAGAAAUGAAAACGGAUAUGAAAAAGGAACUCAAACAAAUAAGGGAAGAACAAAAAAUAUAGAAAUCAAAUGAUAAAAAUCAAAACGGACAAUGACAUACUGAAAAAUGAAAAUAAAUACCUGAAAGAAGAAAUUGAAACAAUCAAUAGCAAACUUGACAAAAUAGAUAGAGAAACGAGAAGAAAUAAUGUGGUUAUACAAGAACUACCAAUCACAACAAAUGAUGAAGAGGAGUUGAAAGAAGGAAUGACUUCAUUCAUCAAAAAUACUAUGGACAUCGAUUUAAAAAUAAGAAAUGCCAGAAAAAUAGGUGAUAAAAUAUGUCUACUACAAUUGGAAAA
rnacentral:lncRNA from 1 species